UAGAUUGUAAUUAAGUGAAAGACAUUCCUCAAACACCAAGUGAAUAAAAAACCAACAUGAGAUCUUUGUGUACCUUAAUCAUUGCUUUGAUCUUUGCCAUAACAAUGAUCCUUUCACUUGAGGUAACCGUUGCCAAAGCUAGGACUUACCCAUCUUCUUCAUCCAAAGUUUCAAAAAUGGUUUCAUCAUUCCAUUCUCUCUCACAUAAACAAGAGGCAUCAAAAUCAUCUCAAGAGGUAGCUGCUAGCCUUAGAUUCAUCCCACCUAGCAGACCAAAUCCAACACAGAACAAGUUAAAGCCUAGGAUAAAGGAUUGAAGAAAGAAAUUGCUGGAUUCAGACUUCAACUGUGUCUUGCUCUAGCUAUGGUUUUUUCCUAUUUUUUCUCAGCUUUCACUUCUUAGUUUUGUUAGUCAUAGUGAUAUAUAUAGUUAAGGUUUCAAAUUUUUGUGUGUUUUUCUAUUUUAGAUUUCAAUUUAUGUUCUUUUAUUACGUUGAUGUUUUAGAUUAUAGGUAGUAUAGGAGCUAAUGAUUGUAAAGGAUAAAAUAGUAGCCAUCAUAAUGUAAAACUCAAAACUGGUAAAUUUUUGCUUGCUAUAAGUUUAGAUUCCUGAAA